rnacentral:rRNA from 1 species
CCUACGGGCGGCUGCAGUGGGGAAUAUUGGACAAUGGGGGGAACCCUGAUCCAGCCAUGCCGCGUGUGUGAAGAAGGCCCUCGGGUUGUAAAGCACUUUCAGUGAGGAAGAACGCCUGGUGGUUAAUACCCAUCAGGAAAGACAUCACUCACAGAAGAAGCACCGGCUAACUCCGUGCCAGCAGCCGCGGUGAAUACGGAGGGUGCGAGCGUUAAUCGGAAUUACUGGGCGUAAAGCGCGCGUAGGUGGCUUGAUAAGCCGGUUGUGAAAGCCCCGGGCUCAACCUGGGAACGGCAUCCGGAACUGUCAAGCUAGAGUGCUGGAGAGGAAGGUAUGAUUCCCGGUGUAGCGGUGAAAUGCGUAGAGAUCGGGAGGAAUACCAGUGGCUAAGGCGGCCUUCUGGACUGACACUGACACUGAGGUGCGAAAGCGUGGGUAGCAAACAGGAUUAGAUACCCUAGUAGUC